AGGAAUACAUCGGAAUCUACUUUUUCGUGGGGGAUAACGUAGGGAAACUUACGCUAAUACCGCAUACGACCUACGGGUGAAAGCAGGGGAUCUUCGGACCUUGCGCGAUUGAAUGAGCCGAUGUCGGAUUAGCUAGUUGGCGGGGUAAAGGCCCACCAAGGCGACGAUCCGUAGCUGGUCUGAGAGGAUGAUCAGCCACACUGGAACUGAGACACGGUCCAGACUCCUACGGGAGGCAGCAGUGGGGAAUAUUGGACAAUGGGCGCAAGCCUGAUCCAGCCAUACCGCGUGGGUGAAGAAGGCCUUCGGGUUGUAAAGCCCUUUUGUUGGGAAAGAAAUCCAGCUGGUUAAUACCCGGUUGGGAUGACGGCACCCAAAGAAUAAGCACCGGCUAACUUCCUGCCUGCAUCCGCGCUAAUACGAAAGGAGCUAGCGUUACUCGGAAUUACUGGGCGUAUGGCGUGCGUACGCGGUCGUUUAAGUCCGUUGUGCAGACCCUGGGCUCCACCUGUCAACUGCGGAGGAUA
rnacentral:rRNA from 1 species